rnacentral:rRNA from 1 species
AUGGGGUGCNNCNNGCGCGAAACCUCCGCAAUGCGGGAAACCGCGACGGGGUCAGCCGGAGUGCCCGCGCAUUGCGCGGGCUGUCGGGGUGCCUAAAAAGCACCCCACAGCAAGGGCCGGGCAAGGCCGGUGCCAGCCGCCGCGGUAACACCGGCACCUCGAGUGGUAGCCACUAUUAUUGGGCCUAAAGCGUUCGUAGCCGGUUUGGUAAGUCCUCCGGGAAAUCUGGCGGCUCAACCGUCAGACUUCCGGAGGAUACUGCCAGCCUAGGGACCGGGAGAGGCCGGGGGAAUUCCCGGGGUAGGGGUGAAAUCCUGUAAUCCCGGGAGGACCACCUGUGGCGAAGGCGCCCGGCUGGAACGGGUCCGACGGUGAGGGACGAAGGCCAGGGGAGCGAACCGGAUUAGAUACCCGGGUAGUCCUGGCUGUAAACGAUGCGGACUAGGUGUCACCGGAGCUACGGGCUCCGGUGGUGCCGGAGGGAAGCCGUUAAGUCCGCCGCCUGGGGAGUACGGCCGCAAGGCUGAAACUUAAAGGAAUUGGCGGGGGAGCAC